GGAGUAGUUACAACUUUUUUUUUUUUUUUGAGACAGAGUCUCGCUCUGUUGCCCAGGCUGGAGUGCAGUGGCACGAUCUCGGCUCACUGCAAGCUCCGCCUUCCGGGUUCACGCCAUUCUCCUGCCUCAGCUCCCUGAGUAGCUGGGACUACAGGCGCCCUCGCGCCUGGCUGAUUUUUUGUAUUUUUAGCAGAGACGGAGUUUCACCAUGUUAGCCAGGAUGGUCUUGAUUUUCUGACCUUGUAAUCCGGCUGCCUCAGCCUCCCAAAGUGCUGGGAUUACAAGCGUGAGCCACUGCGCCCGGCCUAGUUGAGGAGUAAAUGGACUGGAUUAAAGUUAAACCAUAACCCCAAAUUCAGGAACUUCUGCGCACAGUGCUUGCUUAUCUGAUUAUGUGCUUGCUUAGAAAUUCCAGAGACCAAUUUUGAAACGAAACAGGUAAAGAAACCAAGUGGCAGAAUCCUCCCGCUUAGAAGGAGUACGAAUAGUUAGCUCACCACUCUCCGGCCCAAGUCAGGAUGACACCAACCCAACAGGCAAUUACUCAAGAUAAACAUCGGAACUAGACAUGCAGACCUGCGCCUUCCUGCACCACUACCAUAUAUUUCCCAUACCUUUUCCUGCCAAAACCCCUUCACUCAGCCCAAAAGGCAGAGAUGGCUUCUUUGAGGCAGAAGCCCGGCCAUCUCCCAUCUGCUAGCAUUUGAUCAAUAAAGUUGCCUUCCUUUCCUUUCACCAUGCCUUGCUUCUCAUGUUUUUGGUCUCUGAGUGGUGAGCAGCUGAUUACUGGUUACAAUAAUAAAAUCUCAAAAGAUCUUAACUGUUAUUGUUUUGAUCAUAU
rnacentral:lncRNA from 1 species